CCUUGACCACUUCUUUAUCUUCUUGUUAAUUUUGCUGUAUAUGUACUGGGUUGUUUCUUCUCUCCUCCACCUUCUCUCUCUACUAAUAACUCUGUUAACUUUUAGUUUCCUCUCUCCUUCAGCUUCUCUCUCAAAACUUUAGGAUCUGCCACUGCUUGUUCUCAUUUUGUUGAAACCUCGCACUGCCGAAUUCUUUACUCCUCUCUCUCUUUCUCUCUGCAAACACACUUGUCACUGUAUCAGUGAUACCACUGUCAUUUUUUUUUUACACGCUGGGUUGAGAGUGGUUUUGAUGGUUGAACCACCGAUUUCCGGUUUUUGAUGCAUAUUUUUUUAAUUUCUGAUUUUCGAAGAGAACCGUGCAAGAUUGAGAUCCGGUUCCCGGUUUUUAAAACCAUGGAACCACUAGCCACUAGGUACUCCAUAUGUGAUUCUAUAACCAUGGCCUCUCACUUUCUCUAUGGCAUCCCAUUUCCCUUCGCUUCUACUUCUACACACCCCAACCAUGGCUGCACGCUUUGCAGUGACUGUCUAAUCCCUGGAGGGCUUGUCUUCGACCAUGUCAUGGAGGUCUGGGACCCACCCGAUAACAUCAAUCUCGGAAUGAUGUGUAGUGCGCGGGUCACCAGCCGGUCGCACUGUACGGAGUUUACUUCUCUUGGAAUGGAAGGAUUUGGAAAGACUACAAUUUCUGGCAAAAGAAAGUGGACAAGCAGUGGAGCGUGCAGCUGUUUUCGCAAAAGUAUACUGUACCAAAGAUGGCCCAUCGGAUGACUGAAUUGCUGAGUCAGAGCAGAGGCAUCAGGAGCAAAUGGCCUCAUUGCAUGCACAACAUAAGGAGGAAAUUGCCGAAGCACUGGCCGAAGCAAAACGGGAAUCAGAUGCACGGCAUGAGCAGCAAAUGGCUAAAGCAAAGCGAGAAUCAGAUGCACGGCAUGACCAGCAAUGGCCGAAGCAAAGCGGCAAAUGGAUGAAAUGAUGUUGGGCGUGAGAGCCAUGUUACAAGAUGAUGCGUUUGCUCAAGUGAUGGGCAAAGAACGUUGUGGACGUGUACGUGUACGUGGGGUCAGUUUUGGACCAACCCUAAUAGGAAGAAGUGGGUCCAACCUUCCAUGUUUGACUGGGCCGUCGUCCAGUGAAAUGGCCCAUCGGAUGACUAAAUUGGAAAAUUCGCUGAGGGACUAACUUGCCGAGUCAGAGCAGAGGCAUCAGGACCAAAUGGCCUCAUUGCAUGCACGGCAUAAGGAGGAAAUUGUCAAAGCACUGGCCGAAGCAAAGCGGGAAUCAGAUGCACGGCAUGACUGGCAAAUGGCCGAAACAAAGUGGCAAAUGGAUGAAAUGAUGUUGGGUGUGAGAGCCAUGUUACAAGAAGCUAUGUUACAAAGCAACGUGAGCAGUUUAAGCAAUUUUUCAGGAUAGCGCUGCAUCACAGUGAGGACUCUUCGUGGAUAUUUUAAGAUUGUAUGUUGUAUAACUUUUUGGCUGUAUCAAAAGGAAUAUUGUAAACAUGAUAUCUGAUGCUCGCUGCAUCUUUUUUGUGUCAAAUGGACUUUAAACUUUUUCCCUCCAUUUUGUUGCUAUAUUGAACUGCAUAUUCCUUAAAGAUUGAUAAUUUUUCUGUAUUCGUUAGAGAUAUU